rnacentral:misc_RNA from 1 species
UGCCAAGGCAAAGGUGAGCAGGAAAGAAGUGCAGCAAUAUUUAAACGAAAAGCAUAAUGGUGAUUAAUCCUGCAGUUUUUUCAAGUGGUCCUUCAACCUACAAUGGUGCCUUUGUUCUGCCUUUGAUGAGGCAUCAUCAUCCAAAACCAGAAAGGAUGAAUCCAACCAUGGCUUAUGAUUAAGCUCAGGGAGAAGGUCAUCCAUUUCCUCAUAACUUGACUCUUGUAGAUCUUUAACAUAGCAAUUCAUCCACUCUCUUCCGUCUUUCUCCACCCUUAACAGGUUUAGUAUCUGGCCUGCUUUUGGACGUAAUCUGGGUGAUUGUUUGAUGCAGAGGGUUGCUGCAAGAACCAUUCUCUGCAUUUGAACAAUGUCAAACUCCCCAUCCAACAUCGGAUCCACUAAUCCUUCAAGAUUCCCAUUCUCUAGUAAAGGCAUUGCCCACAUGACCAAGCUUUCCUGCCCUUUUAUACCUUUUGUACUAAUUGGCUUCUUCCCUGUUAACAA